UCUGUGCCACAAAGUAGGCAAUACUAACGAGCAGACUUCACUUUAAUCUGGACAAAUAAAAGCCUACACAAGGAGCCUUGAACCAUAGGAUACCCACAACCAAUCUGAAGCUCUGAGUUAAGUUAGUUGUGUUGGCUGCUAAGUUACAAGACAAGGAGGAAAACUGAAAUUCCAGCACUUAUUUUAAAAAACUCAAGUUUUGUGAUUCCCGGGCAAAAUGGCUGAAUAGGAAUACCUCUGGUCUGCACUUCCCAGCGAGACCAAUGCAGAAGAAUAUAAACUCUAAGAUGGAAUAUCAGAAGCCACCAUUCUCAAGGGCGUGAGGAAGGGCUUCAGAUGCAGACAAGACUAAGUUUAAAUGG